GUAGGGAGCUAUAAGUUCUCUGUAUCGCAGCUAACGCAAUAAGCACUCCGCCUGGGGGAGUACGACCGCAAGGUUGAAACUCAAAGGAAUUGACGGGGGGCCCGCACAAGCGGUGGAGCAUGUGGUUUAAUUCGAAGCAACGCGAAGAACCUUACCAGGUCUUGACAUACUCGUGCUAUUCCUAGAGAUAGGAAGUUCCUUCGGGACACGGGAUACAGGUGGUGCAUGGUUGUCGUCAGCUCGUGUCGUGAGAUGUUGGGUUAGUCCCGCAACGAGCGCAACCCCUAUUGUUAGUUGCCAUCAUUAAGUUGGGCACUCUAACGAGACUGCCGGUGAUAAACCGGAGGAAGGUGGGGAUGACGUCAAAUCAUCAUGCCCCUUAUGACCUGGGCUACACACGUGCUACAAUGGAUGGUACAACGAGUCGCGAGACAGUGAUGUUUAGCUAAUCUCUUAAAACCAUUCUCAGUUCGGAUUGUAGGCUGCAACUCGCCUACAUGAAGUCGGAAUCGCUAGUAAUCGCGGAUCAGCACGCCGCGGUGAAUACGUUCCCGGGCCUUGUACACACCGCCCGUCACACCACGGGAGUUGGGAGUACCCGAAGUAGGUUGCCUAACCGCAAGGAGGGCGCUUCCUAAGGUAAGACCGAUGACUGGGGUGAAGUCGUAACAAGGUAGCCGUAUCGGAAGGUGCGGCUGGAUCACCUCCUUUCUAAGGAAUAUAUAC
rnacentral:rRNA from 1 species